rnacentral:rRNA from 1 species
GAUGAACGCUGGCGGCGUGCCUAAUACAUGCAAGUCGAGCGAACGGACGAGAAGCUUGCUUCUCUGAUGUUAGCGGCGGACGGGUGAGUAACACGUGGAUAACCUACCUAUAAGACUGGGAUAACUUCGGGAAACCGGAGCUAAUACCGGAUAAUAUUUUGAACCGAAUGGUUCAAAAGUGAAAGACGUUCUUGCUGUCACUUAUAGAUGGAUCCGCGCUGGAUUCGCUAGUUGGUAAGGUAACGGCUUACCAAGGCAACGAUGAAUAGCCGACACAAGAGGGUGGACGGCUACACUGGAACUGAGGAACGGUCCAGACACCUACGGGAGGCAGCAGUAGGGAAUCUUCCGCAAGGGGCGAGAGCCGAACGUAGCAAAGCCGCGGGAGUGAUGAAGGUCUGCGGAUCGGAAAACUCUGUUAUUAGGGAAAAACAUAUGUGUUAGUAACUGUGAACAUCUUGACGGUACCUAAUCAGAAAGCCACGGCUAACUACGUG